AUUUGGAUCCUACGACAUGUUUAGAGAAAAAAAGAAAAAUCAUUCCCCACUUCUCCUCUCUUUGGUUGUUUCCCCAACACCACUUAAUCUUAAUAGCCUUCAUCUCAUCUUCUUCUUCUGUCCUCUAGGGUUAGCUCCAUUCACAGUUCACAGCUAGCAUAACUACCAUCUCCCAUCACCACGAGCAACACCAUCAGGGUUCGGAAUUGAUUCCUCCGAAAAUAUCUUAAAUCGCAGGAAAAAACAUAAAGGGUAUUUUUCAAUUUUCAGAAAUGGAGAUAAAGCUCCUUCUGCGGAUAAUGAGGUUAUGAAGAGUUUAAAAUAUUUAGAUCCUGGGAAAUCAGGGAAAUAUAAAGGGAUACAUGUUCCUGGAAGAUAACUUGAAGGCGAUGAUCAAGCCUCAUUAUGUGGAUCACAUCCCAAAAGAAGUGCAAGGAAUGUUGUGCAAGUUCUGGAAUAGAAUGAUGAGAGAGAGGUGAAAGAGGAACUCUGUCGUGAGCUUAAUCAGGUUAUAGAUCGAAACGUCGGUCAUUUGUCAGGUGGAGAGAUGCAAAGAUUUGCUAUUUCUGUGGUUGCCAUACAUAAUGCAG